UGGGUAGGAAUUCGGGUAGAGGAACAGGGACAGAGAGCACAGUGCAUUGGAGCAUGUAAUGCAGGGCUUGAGGGAGUAUACAGUCAGGAGGAACUCCCGGGCUUGGGCUGAAGAGGUCCAGCCCUGGAAUUUCCUCCCCCAUUCUGGAGUCCUUCAUUUAUUUCCAUCUGCAAAGCCUCUGUACCAGAACAAGGGACACCUGGGAGCCAGGGUCUCCCCUGACCGAGAUCACGCAUGCCUGGCCUGUGAGCCAGGGCUUCUAAGCAACAGCUGGACGCAAGUGAGAGUCUCCCUGGGCCCUGCAUGGACUCUGAAGGUAGAGCUGAGGAGACAGAAGCCCAGGAGCAUCUGCCAUGGCCAGCCUUUGUUCUGGAACCUUCUCAGGGAUAUGCAGACCCUUCAGAGGCGAUGGACCCCUAAAGAACUGAGGCCUGUGGACUACUUGCACAUGACAGGAUGACAAAGUAUCUCUGUCUGUGGGACCCUUUCACUCCAGGACUUUCUUCUUAUUUUGUGUCAACUGCUGAGGAUCGUAUUGCAAUGGAUAGGAUCCCUCCCUCCUUGGCUGGGGCAGGAACUCUCCUCAGACGGCUGCUAUCAUCUCUGUGUUUGGCACCAGACCUGCACCUGGCACUAAACACACCUAAACCAUGCAAUCACCUACCUUGUAUGGGGGAAUAAAGGAUUAGCCCGUUGACUGUUUCUUUCGACAGCCCUUCACCAUACCAGGAAGUCAGACUAAUUGCCUUCCACAGAUCCCUGGUCAUCAACUCCUGUUUAUCCUUUUCUCUGAGCUGGCGCAUGCCGGUAGGUAAUCUCAUCUAUAGAAGGUGGAGGCUAUACAGCGAGACCCUACCUCAACCCCUAUCUCCUACUCCAAAACUUCCAUUUGGAAAUGUCAGUCAAUUAAUAAACUUUUACCUAAAAAGCCA
rnacentral:lncRNA from 1 species